AAUACACGAUUCUUCUCCAUUCUUUUCUACACAUUACACACACUCACAUAUGAAAUAGGGAGCUGAUAGACAUAUACAGUAGGCCAUAUACACAUAAAUGGAGAGAAAAAUAGCAUACAGUCACCAUUCUCAUAUAUAUGGCACCUCACUAGACGGAGAGGGGGGUUUUUCCUUUCUCUUCUACACACAGUAAAGCACACACAUAGAGUAGAGAGGGAUGGACAAACACUGAUAUACUCACCAGUGUACACCCACAACAACAUUACACCCAGAAUAAAUCAAUAUACUCACACGCACAUCUUGAUCGGAGAAUAAAAAAUGGGGUAAAGUCGAGUGAAAGCAGAGGGGAGGUUGACCAAAGAAAGGAUUGAGAGAGAGAACUGGUCAGAGAGAGGAAGAGACAAAGAGCAGAAGGAGAUAUUUGAGCGAGAGAGGAGAGAAAAGGGAUUGAGGCUGACUGUUCCGGCGUUCUUGGCCGGGAAUAGCAUCCUUUCGCCAGAAAAUAUUUAAUUCCGGUCACUGCUAAUUUGAAUUGAUCAUUUUUUAUCCUGAAUUUGGUUAAUUUUCAUCUAGAAACAGUCAUAUAGGCUUCUGGUUUUUUUUUGUUCGGAGCCUUGAUUUCGAUUUUGUUUUCGUUUGUUCUUCGUGGAGCCUUGCUCGAAAGCGGGUCUGAGUAAAUUGGAGUUCUAGAUGGAAGUUGUUGAUUUGGGUUCGUGAUUGAGGUUCGACGUUGAGGUUCCUCUUGGACGCGGUUCUAUUCGGAAAGAUCAAUUAAUUGAAAUAAAACGUCAAAUUGAGGUUCAAUUCUACUCUUUCGCUUUUUGUUUUAUUUGUGAUAUUUGGUGCAUUGAAUGAAAUAUUCUAUGUUGGUUGAUCAUUGUGGGUGAUGAAUAGUUGUUGGUUCCGAUUUGUUGUUCGGUUAUAGAUUGUGUAAUGAAAUGAUAUCUCGUUAAGAAUUGAAAAGGAAAUUGGGAGGUGGAAUUGAAACUUGAUUAAAAGGUAAAUUUUGGUUGGUUUGAUUCAUGAGUUAUUGUUUGACUUGAAAGAAACAUUAAUCAAACUUUUUAGUAUCAUGACGAGUCGAGUGAGGUAGGCAAACACAGGUGGGGUAGGCAAAGUUUAGAAUUUGUGGCUUUGGUUGAAUGUUGGAAAUUUCAUUGAAUGUUUGAAAUUUUGUUGAAUAGUUUGAUUUUCUCGCACUAAAAAUGUAUUCAUUUGGUCGGAGAAUGCCUUAAGGGAUUUGUAUUGGUUUAUCCGGAAAAUGUCCCGAAGUAUCUUGUACUUGGAGGACGUUCAUGAUGAAGGCCCGAGGCGCUGGGUAGUGCAUAGUCUAGGACUAGUUUAGAAUAGGAUUUAGACUUUCGCAUUUUUCCAUUUUGGAUUGUAUAAUUGGACUGGACAUCAUAUUUUUGGGAUUUGAUUUGGUUUGUGUUUUUUUGUUUGAUUGUUGUGUGUUUAUGUGGUUCAUACAUUUUUAGUGUCAAAAUUAGCUAAUAUGCUCCAUCAAGCGACCUUGGUCGAACCACGGGAUCGAGGGGUGCCUAAAACCUUCCCCUUGAUCAACAGAAUUCCUUAGCCAGAAUCUCUGUUCACGGAUCAGUUUUAGAGUCAAAAUCGUUUCAAAAAUGGAUAUCCAAGGGUGACUUGGUGCACCCGAUUUAUGCCAAGUGGUGACUCUGAGUUUUGAAUAUAAAAGGUCCUUUUUGAAACAAAUUUUCAUCUUUUGUCACUUUGAUAAUAAAAACCCUUUCAAACUUAAAAAUGAAUCUUUUUGGAAUUAAAAAAGGGUGUGACAGCUCUAGCGACUCUGCUGGGAAUUUUUCAGAAUUUGAGCUAAUUUUUGGAGUUUUUUCGGCUUUGUUUGACAUUAUGAGUGUAUAGACAUUGUUUGUGUUGUUUUGUGUUAUUGUUUAUCAUUGUUGAGUGUCUACGUGCUCUUUGUUUACAGUUUUUAUCGUAUGUGUUACCGUUUUAUAUCUUCCAUCAUGUGCAUAACUCGAGUCAUUUUUUCUGCAACAAGUUUGUAGUACACGUGUUGUACACGACCUCUAGUUGAGUCACCCUUAUUUUAGAAAGGGGAGACAUCGGUGUUAUGGAGUGGGUUGAAAGCUCUCACAACCACUAUCGACCAUACGCUCCCCCGAACAAUCUUGUUAGUAGGCCCAACGUAGGUCAGCUUUUAGAUCAUGCUUAUCUGCAUCAUAUUGGGACCUAGCGAGACCCACGUGGCCCUUUGUGGGAGACUCACCACUAAAGCAUCCCUACUUGCUAAAUGUUACAUUUCUGAGGGUAACGUGGUCAUUUGACGGACCAAUUUGGGGAAACAUGUGUUAGAAGUAAGGUGUGUUGAUACAAGCAUGAGGAGCACAAGGAUUACAAGUUUCUGUUGAAGGUCCACUUUUCGGAUUUGCAAAGGAAUUGAAGACCUUUUGAAGCCUUUUUCAAAGCCUUGUCCAAGCUCGGGAACUACAAAGACUACAAGGCGCGUUUAUGAAAAUGGACGCGGUUGAGCAUUUCUUAAGUUCAUCCAAGGGAGUGUAUGUAUUAAAGUGUGAAGACAUGCCUUGAGUGCCUUAAAAACACUACAAGUCAGCCCCAUUUAUACACUCCAAACUCACCCCUUCAUUAAGGGUAAAUGUGUCAUUUCCCAUCUCUUUUGUAAUAGACUAUAAGUAGAAAUCCCUUAGUCUUAUUUUUUUAGUUAGCUCAUUCUUGAAAUCACUUGUAAUAUUGAAAAUCACUUUCCUCUCAAGAAGAGAGUAGACCACCACUUUGACAUCACAAGAAAUGGUUUCUAUCACACCCCUUUUUUUUAACUCCAAA
rnacentral:lncRNA from 1 species